AUUGAACGCUGGCGGCAGGCCUAACACAUGCAAGUCGAACGAGAGGCGGAGGGGUGAGUAAUAUCUGGAAGCCUGCCUGAUGGAGGGGAAUCACUACUGUAAAAGGUAGCUAAUACCGCAUACCCUAAGAGGUGCCAAGAUGGGAUUAGCUGGUUGGUGGGGUAACGGCUAACCAUGGCAACGAUCCCUAGCAGGUCUGAGAGGAUGACCAGACACACUGGAACGGAGCCACGGUCCAUACUCCUACGGGAGGCAGCAGUGGGGAAUAUUGCACAAUGGGCGAAAGCCUGAUGCAGCCAUGCCGCGUGUAUGAAGAAGGCCUUCGGGUUGUAAAGUACUUUCAGCGGGGAGGCGUUACCCGCAGAGGAAGCACCGGCUAACUCCGUGCCAGCAGCCGCGGUAAUAC
rnacentral:rRNA from 1 species